rnacentral:misc_RNA from 1 species
GAAAUGCGAUAAGUAAUGUGAAUUGCAGAAUUCAGUGAAUCAUCGAAUCUUUGAACGCACAUUGCGCCCCCUGGUAUUCCGGGGGGCAUGCCUGUUCGAGCGUCAUUUCACCACUCAAGCCUCGCUUGGUAUUGGGCAACGCGGUCCGCCGCGUGCCUCAAAUCGACCGGCUGGGUCUUCUGUCCCCUAAGCGUUGUGGAAACUAUUCGCUAAAGGGUGUUCGGGAGGCUACGCCGUAAAACAACCCCAUUUCUAAGUUUGACCUCGGAUCAGGUAGGGAUACCCGCUGAACUUAAGC